AUAAGGUCCUCUGGAUUGUAAACUUCUUUUAUAUGGGACGAAAAAAGGUCUUUCUAGAUCACUUGACGGUACCAUAUGAAUAAGCACCGGCUAACUCCGUGCCAGCAGCCGCGGUAAUACGGAGGGUGCAAGCGUUAUCCGGAUUCACUGGGUUUAAAGGGUGCGUAGGCGGGCAGGUAAGUCAGUGGUGAAAUCCUGGAGCUCAACUCCAGAACUGCCAUCGAUACUAUCUAUCUUGAAUAUUGUGGAGGUAAGCGGAAUAUGUCAUGUAGCGGUGAAAUGCUUAGAUAUGACAUAGAACACCCAUUGCGAAGGCAGCUUACUACGCAUAUAUUGACGC
rnacentral:rRNA from 1 species